AAGGUGAUUCAUCCCUUGGUGGGCAACAUAUUAAGAUUUAUAUCCUUUUUACGAUAUUAAGGAGUAAAUCCGGUAUUUGAUUUUCCUUGUAUGAAGUCCUUAUUUAUGUGCAUGAUGUCUUGCCUGUUACUUCUGAUCUUAUUCUAGGUGAUUCGUGGUGCCUAUUUUUUUUGGCGUUUUCAUGUCUCUUAGAUUUCACUCGGUUGUUAUUGCAGCACUUGAUUUUUCGGAUUCGAUGUAGAAUUUUUGUAAUCCAUCUUUCCAUUCUGUUCUUGAUUUUAUUGGCCUUAUUCGAAACCCCCAAAAAAAAAAGAAAAAAAAUACAAAUGGACGGCUAUUUUUACGGGGUUUGUUUCUUAGUCGUCCUCAGGUACAAGAUAGAGAAAUAAUACAUUCAGAAAAUAUAGUGCAAAGAUGGUGUUUCUUAGGUGCUAUCGUUACGCAGUACUGAAAGGAAUGUUUGUCAUGGUUCAUGUUCUCAACUUUUUACCAUCAAAACUCUUGCCAAAUUAGAUUGUCCAUUUAAUUUUUUAGGGGGCACACUAGUUAUAUUCUUAUCGGAUAGGUAGACAAAGGGAUCAAAUCUUUUUUUGUUCCAGAGCUUUUAAUAUAUGGUUAGAAUCUGUUGACAUCCAAAUCCAGCUUUAUGGCAACUAGUGGGGGUUGCUAUAAAGAAAGGUUCUGUUCACAACUGGCCUUUUUUUUUUUUAAAGUUAUGUUCACAACUAACUUGUGCUAGGAUGUGAAAACAGUAAUUUGGUUUGCAGGGAGGAUGUUGAAAGAUGGGGCUAUCUCACUUGCUUUUUGUAGGGGGAACCAGUGGUGAAGUCGCCGGCUUGCAGCCCUGCGGUGUGAUAUCAUGUCAGGUGGAAGACAGUACUGAUGUUUCAUUGCAUCAUUUUAUAUUUGAGCUUACCUCCAUGAGAUCUGAAUCAUUUCGAGGAAAUUUUCUUGCGGAUUGUUUCAUGUAUAAGAGCUAUUGAUGCUGUACCUGGAAGUAGCUCAUUGAUAACCCUAAUAGCAGCACAACCUGAUGUCUGAAAUCAGCACCAGCUUAUUAUAUAUAUAUAUAUAUAAUGGAUGUGGAUUUUAUGAUGAUGUGUAGUUUUGAGCUCUUCAGGGUUUGGAGAUGUUUCCAUGAUUUCGGUGGUGAGGCCGAAGAGCAAGCGAGAUAUUUGGAGAGAUGCUGGUUAAUUUUGCAUGGUCCUUACCUUCAUCUUACUGGUUUGCUCGCUAUAAUUGUAUGAACUCUGCUUGCCACUCUCACAAACUGGAUCUGUACCCAUUGUUAAGUUAAUAUUAUGGUAGGGGGUUGAUGCUA